rnacentral:rRNA from 1 species
GGGACACGUGGUAUCCUGUCUGAAUAUGGGGGGACCAUCCUCCAAGGCUAAAUACUCCUGACUGACCGAUAGUGAACCAGUACCGUGAGGGAAAGGCGAAAAGAACCCCGGCGAGGGGAGUGAAAAAGAACCUGAAACCGUGUACGUACAAGCAGUGGGAGCACCUUCGGGUGUGACUGCGUACCUUUUGUAUAAUGGGUCAGCGACUUAUAUUCUGUAGCAAGGUUAACCGUAUAGGGGAGCCGCAGGGAAACCGAGUCUUAACUGGGCGUUAAGUUGCAGGGUAUAGACCCGAAACCCGGUGAUCUAGCCAUGGGCAGGUUGAAGGUUGGGUAACACUAACUGGAGGACCGAACCGACUAAUGUUGAAAAAUUAGCGGAUGACUUGUGGCUGGGGGUGAAAGGCCAAUCAAACCGGGAGAUAGCUGGUUCUCCCCGAAAGCUAUUUAGGUAGCGCCUCGUGAAUUCAUCUUCGGGGGUAGAGCACUGUUUCGGCUAGGGGGUCAUCCCGACUUACCAACCCGAUGCAAACUACGAAUACCGAAGAAUGUUAUCACGGGAGACACACGGCGGGUGCUAACGUCCGUCGUGAAGAGGGAAACAACCCAGACCGCCAGCUAAGGUCCCAAAGUCAUGGUUAAGUGGGAAACGAUGUGGGAAGGCACAGACAGCCAGGAUGUUGGCUUAGAAGCAGCCAUCAUUUAAAGAAAGCGUAAUAGCUCACUGGUCGAGUCGGCCUGCGCGGAAGAUGUAACGGGGCUAAACCAUGCACCGAAGCUGCGGCAGCGACACUAUGUGUUGUUGGGUAGGGGAGCGUUCUGUAAGCCUGCGAAGGUGACCUGUGAGGGUUGCUGGAGGUAUCAGAAGUGCGAAUGCUGACAUAAGUAACGAUAAAGCGGGUGAAAAGCCCGCUCGCCGGAAGACCAAGGGUUCCUGUCCAACGUUAAUCGGGGCAGGGUGAGUCGACCCCUAAGGCGAGGCCGAAAGGCGUAGUCGAUGGGAAACAGGUUAAUAUUCCUGUACUUGGUGUUACUGCGAAGGGGGGACGGAGAAGGCUAUGUUAGCCGGGCGACGGUUGUCCCGGUUUAAGCAUGUAGGCUGGUUAUCCAGGCAAAUCCGGAU